AUUUCAAACAAACAAUAAAAUUCUUAAAGAAAUAUUAGAAUGAUCACAAAUAUUAUUCAAAUAUAUGUCAAUUCAAUCUUAAUUUAAUUCUAGUUAAAAACCUAUUGAAUUUCACUCAAACUUUAGACCAAACCUAAUUAAAUCUUAAACCCUAAUAAAUCCUAAAUCCUAAGUCAAAUCCUAAACAAAUCUUAAAUUAAAUCCUAAACCAAACAUUAAAUCAAAUCUUAAUCCAAACCCUAAAUCAAAUCCUAACCAAAUUCUAAAUCAAAUCCAAACCCUAAUCCAAUCCUAAAUCCUAAUCAAAUCCUAAAUCCUAAUCCAAAUCCUAAUCCAAACCCUAAUCCAAAUCCUAAAUCAAAUCCUAAUCAAACUCUAAAUCCUAAUCCAAAUCCUAAUCCAAAUCCUAAAUCAAAUCCUAACCAAACCCUAAUCCAAAUCCUAAACUCUAAAUCAAAUCCUAAAUCGAACCCUAGCCAAACCCUAAUCCA
rnacentral:lncRNA from 1 species